AGCACUUUGAACUUUUAGUGAUGUGAGCUCCAUCACAGCUAACCAAUUUAAUAUUUUAAUUUUGUUUGUUUUCUUUUUUUUUUGUGGCUUUUUUGUUUCUUUGUAUGUGAGUAAUUCACUCGGAUGUUGUUUGGUACUGAACGCCAGGCGUUUGAUUGACAGUUCCUAUUUCUACAAAGCCAAAGCUGACCAACCCAGAGCCGGAGAGGACCUGCUUACGAGACUCAGCCCUCUCUCCGUCUCCUCUCCUCUCAUUACUUCACACCUCCUCCCUCCCUCCCUCCCUCCCUCCUCUCUUGUUGGCCUCUUGGCCAUCUCUCUCUCGAUGCUGCUGCUCAGACUAGUAGAAAAGGACGUUGUUCUGCUUCCGUUCACAACCAACAAAGGGAAAAUAGGACAGACAUUUGACUUCAAAUCACACACACAAGGACUGAAACUGUAGUGAGUUUUUAACCAGUACUUAAAUGUUUUGCACAUAUCUCUUCAGUAGACAGCAAAUGGCACACACACAUACACACACAUAGUUGUCUUAUCCACAAAGGGAAUUAUUUUCUGAAGGAAACCAUACUCACAGUUAUGAAUGCUAUUGCACUGACAAGGGGAAUCAAUUCAGAAAUGAAACAAUAUAUCUGUACGUCUUCAGGACAGACAGUAAUGGUCCUGAUUGACGAUUCCUCUCCACUCUCCGUGAUAGACAGCAACAGCUAUACUACAAACUCGGCACAGUUGAGUAUAACUUUUAGCUUAGAGCAGAACAGUGUGUCUCGGGAUGUUUUAGUGUCUGAAAUGGGAGAUGAAAAACCAUUUUAGUUGUAAACCUGCUGGAAGAGGUUGUGUGUGAGCGUGUAUGUACAUGUGUGUGAGCGUGUGUGUGAACAGUUGCAGAAGAGUUGAUCUGAAAUGAAAUGUUUGAUAAGCCUCUAUAUUGGGCAGUUUUCAAUAUAGCACUUUCAGAAAAUCGAAUGCCUUUUUUCUCAAAUAUUUUUUUUUUUGUCUAUUAUGCCUAAAGGUUUAGAUGUCAUAUUUAGCUAGAGGGAUGUUAGCGUGUAUAUGCUAUGUGCUAAACGUAUGUGUUUUUUUUUUACAGGUACAGCUCUUACAGUGUUAGACUCAUUUUGCUUUACUUGCACAAAAUGUCUGUGUCUCUCAGUGAAGCGAGUGUGACAGGACUGACAGCUACAGCCCUUGGGUGUGUUCACGCACGCAUGCAUGCACGCACACACAUUCAUACAUGGGGAAAUAUCCAUGGCGCUCAUUCAUUUAAUUAAUCAAUACCUCUUGGAAUUAAUUGAGUAUUAAUUAUCAAACUUAAAUUGAAAUUUGGAUGCUAUUGCAUCAUGUCAGUCCAAUAUCGUUUUUUUAUAUAUAUAUUUAAGAAUUGAAUUAAUAAGGAUGGGCCUGAAGUCAUUCAACUUUUGAAUAAAAAAAAAAAGUUUUAGACAAAGCUUCAGGAACCCCUCCCAAGUACUGCAAAAAACCUCCGGCAGCAGUUAUGCUGCAGUGACAAAAAGCUGGAAUUUGAUUGGCAUU
ensembl:lncRNA